UACGUAGGGCGCAAGCGUUGUCCGGAAUUAUUGGGCGUAAAGAGCUCGUAGGCGGUCUGUCGCGUCUGCUGUGAAAACGCGGGGCUCAACCCCGCGCCUGCAGUGGGUACGGGCAGACUAGAGUGCGGUAGGGGGAGACUGGAAUUCCUGGUGUAGCGGUGGAAUGCGCAGAUAUCAGGAGGAACACCGGCGGCGAAGGCGGGUCUCUGGGCCGAUACUGACGCUGGAGGAGCGAAAGCGUGGGGAGCAAACAGG
rnacentral:rRNA from 1 species